UGCAAAACUCUUAUGUCAUAUCAAAACUAAAUCAAACUCAAUCUUUUGAUAAAUCAAACCCUAGAAAUCGUCUUCUUCUGUGAAGUUAAACGAUUAUGUGUGCUUGAUUUCAACCUCAAAUUUCUUUUUCUGGAGAUGAAAUCUUGCAGGGUAUUUUUAUGUAAAGAUUUUGUGUGCUUGAUUCCAACCGCAAGUUUCUUUCUAUGGUGAGAACUAAUGAAUCCUGCAAGAUAAAAGUUGGAGAUUUGGCACUAGUUUGGUGGAGAUUUUUCAUUCCUAGGGAUUUGUUGCAGUGAGUGGAGAUGUUGGUGGUAGUUGUUCGCUGGUGGAGAUCUGAGAUACUGUCAGAGACGCUCUUGUUAUAAAUCCCUUUCCGAACACCUCACUGUGGUGUUUUCAAAGACGGCCAGUGUUGUAUACCUUGGCUAACUUCUGUUUGGAACUUCGUAAAUAUUUGCAAUGAAGGACCACCAGUGCAUCUGGAUCAGUCAUACCAACCGUAAGAUUUAUUUUGUCUUUGUUCAUGGGUAAGUGUUGCUCAAAUUGGAGUAACACGUUGCCUAAAUUAAUG